ensembl:snRNA RNU6ATAC30P RNA, U6atac small nuclear 30, pseudogene
GUGUUAUACGAAAGGAGAGGUUGGCACUCCACUUGACAAAGAUGGAAGAGGCCCUCGGGCCUGACAAUACACAUAUGGUAAGGCACUGCCACCUGCUUCAUGGAGUCUGACCAUCAUUAAAA